UACGUAGGUGGCAAGCGUUGUCCGGAAUUAUUGGGCGUAAAGCGCGCGCAGGUGGUCCUUUAAGUCUGAUGUGAAAGCCCACGGCUCAACCGUGGAGGGUCAUUGGAAACUGGGGGACUUGAGUGCAGGAGAGAAAAGUGGAAUUCCACGUGUAGCGGUGAAAUGCGUAGAGAUGUGGAGGAACACCAGUGGCGAAGGCGGCUCACUGGCCCGGUACUGACGCUGAGGUGCGAAAGCGUGGGGAGCAAACAGG
rnacentral:rRNA from 1 species